rnacentral:rRNA from 1 species
AUUGAACGCUGGCGGCAGGCCUAACACAUGCAAGUCGAACGGUAACAGAAAGCAGCUUGCUGCUUUGCUGACGAGUGGCGGACGGGUGAGUAAUGUCUGGGAAACUGCCUGAUGGAGGGGGAUAACUACUGGAAACGGUAGCUAAUACCGCAUAACGUCGCAAGCCCAAAGAGGGGGACCUUCGGGCCUCUUGCCAUCGGAUGUGCCCAGAUGGGAUUAGCUUGUUGGUGGGGUAACGGCUCACCAAGGCGACGAUCCCUAGCUGGUCUGAGAGGAUGACCAGCCACACUGGAACUGAGACACGGUCCAGACUCCUACGGGAGGCAGCAGUGGGGAAUAUUGCACAAUGGGCGCAAGCCUGAUGCAGCCAUGCCGCGUGUAUGAAGAAGGCCUUCGGGUUGUAAAGUACUUUCAGCGGGGAGGAAGGGAGUAAAGUUAAUACCUUUGCUCAUUGACGUUACCCGCAGAAGAAGCACCGGCUAACUCCGUG